GUGGGCUGAUGAUGAAGCUCCUUCCUUUGAGUUCAGAAACAGUAACUUCUGCAAAGGGUGAGCUGGGAGCAGCUGGGCUGGCUGGCAGCAGGAUGGGAGCCACGGCUUGUCCUGGGAGAUGAAAUAUGUGGCUAUUGAGCUGCUGCUGCUGCUGCAAAAGACCCCCCAAAAGGAUGCUGUUGACCCCAAAACUCACUGUUGCCUGUGCAGGUGAGCCGGUGGUAGCCAGGAAAUGAGUGUGUGCUCAGCAGGGAGGACUUCAGGGAGCUGGUUUGGUGUGUUUGAGGUCUUGGAGAGGAGACAGCUAAGUAGGAAGAAAGAAGGAGCAGGAAGAAAGGAGGAAAAGGGUUUCUCAAGUGCUCCCGAGGACUCCUGAGCCUGCCAGCCCCGCCGUGUUCUGUGCUGGAGCCCAGCCCGGGCAGGUGAGGCGGGCGCGGAGCGGCGGGACGGCCGCGCUCCGGGAAGGGAGCGGUGCCGGUUUGGGGGGGUUGUGGAGGCUUUAAAGAUCCCGAGUCUCUGUGCAGGGACAGUCUAUUUGCUUGAAUCUCGCUUCACAGAGAGCCCCGUUCUCCCCUGGCAUCUUCAAACGCGGCGCUGGCGCAGCGAUUGAAGCGGCGGCUCUCGGAGCCUCGGCCGGCGCGUCCUGCGGGGACGGGACGGGCCGCAGAUGAAAUGUGCUUAGAAGCCUCUCCUGCCGCUGCCUCCCACCAUCGAUCUCUUUAAAAACAGGAUUUCUCUGCUUUCCCUCUUCCCCAAACCCGGCCGCGGCUUGUGCAGGGGCUCGGGGAG